rnacentral:rRNA from 1 species
UACAGAGGUCUCAAGCGUUGUUCGGAUUCAUUGGGCGUAAAGGGUGCGUAGGUGGCGCCGUUAGUCAGGUGUGAAAUCUCGGGGCUUAACUCCGAAACUGCAUUUGAUACUGCGGUGCUUGAGGACUGGAGAGGGGACUGGAAUUUACGGUGUAGCGGUGAAAUGCGUAGAUAUCGUAAGGAAGACCAGUGGCGAAGGCGGGUCUCUGGACAGUUCCUGACGCUGAGGCACGAAGGCCAGGGGAGCAAACGGG